rfam:Lactobacillus plantarum WCFS1 complete genome
GGGGAUGUUCUGGAUUCGACAGGUAUAGUUUGAGUUCGGAUUGCGCUUCGUAGGUUGUGUCUACGUAAAAACGCUCAGUUUAAAUUAUAACUGCAAAAAAUAAUAACAAUUCUUACGCUUUAGCUGCCUAAUAAGCGCUUAACGUAGAUCCUCCCAGGAUCGUCCAUGUUCUGGAUCUGGGUCCUAAAUUUAGUGGACUUACGCUCAAAGCUUCCACCUGGAGUUGCGAGAAGAGACUAAUCAGGUUAGUCAUUGCUGGGUGCCCUGUCAUACGGCGUUUGCAAUGAUGAAAUUUAAAUAGUAUGAAUAUGAGCGUAGAUAUCCGAGGGGCAAUAUGCUUGGACGCGAGUUCGACUCUCGCCAUCUCCAUUA